AUAGUGUUUUCUGAAAAUCAUUAAAAUGCACCUUGGAAAUCUGGUUGCAGGUUCUUAGUAGUGAUGAGGAGGAGGAGGAGGAGAACUGUAGUAGUAAUGGUGGGGUGGUGGGUAGUGGACUGGAGGUGGUGGUGGGGGAGACUUGUAGACGUAUGGCUUCUUGUGAGGUGGUGGUGGUGGAGGGGACUUGUAAACGUAUGGCUUCUUGGGUGGUGGUGGAGGGGACUUGUAGACGUAUGGCUUCUUGGGUGGUGGUGGAGGGGACUUGUAGACGUAUGGCUUCUUGGGUGGUGGUGGAGGGGACUUGUAGACGUAUGGCUUCUUGGGUGGUGGUGGAGGGGACUUGUAGACGUAUGGCUUCUUGGGUGGUGGUGGAGGGGACUUGUAGACGUAUGGCUUCUUGGGUGGUGGUGGAGGGGACUUGUAGACGUAUGGCUUCUUGGGUGGUGGUGGAGGGGACUUGUAGACGUAUGGCUUCUUGGGUGGUGGUGGAGGGGACUUGUAGACGUAUGGCUUCUUGGGUGGUGGUGGAGGGGACUUGUAGACGUAUGGCUUCUUGGGUGGUGGUGGAGGGGACUUGUGGACGUAUGGCUUCUUGUGAGGUGGUGGUGGUGGAGGGGACUUGUAGACGUAUGGCUUCUUGGGUGGUGGUGGAGGGGACUUGUAGACGUAUGGCUUCUUGGGUGGUGGUGGAGGGGACUUGUAGACGUAUGGCUUCUUGGGUGGUGGUGGAGGGGA
rnacentral:lncRNA from 1 species